rnacentral:miRNA from 1 species
CAACCAUGUCUUCUUUCCCAG